CCUACGUGAGGCAGCAGUGAGGAAUAUUGGUCAAUGGCCGAGAGGCUGAACCAGCCAAGUCGCGGGAGGGAAGACGGCCCUACGGGUUGUCAACCUCUUUUGUCGGGGAGCAAAGCGAGUCACGUGUGACUCAUUGAGAGUACCCGAAGAAAAAGCAUCGGCUAACUCCGUGCCAGCAGCCGCGGUAAUACGGAGGAUGCGAGCGUUAUCCGGAUUGAUUGGGUUUAAAGGGUGCGCAGGCGGAGGUGCAAGUCAGCGGUCAAAUUGCGGGGCUCAACCCCGUACUGCCGUUGAAACUGCAUCCCUUGAGUGCGCGAGAAGUAUGCGGAAUGCGUGGUGUAGCGGUGAAAUGCAUAGAUAUCACGCAGAACUCCGAUUGCGAAGGCAGCAUACCGGCGCGCAACUGACGCUCAUGCACGAAAGCGUGGGUAUCGAACAGGAUUAGAUACCCCAGUAGUC
rnacentral:rRNA from 1 species